rnacentral:rRNA from 1 species
UGGCUCAGAUUGAACGCUGGCGGCAGGCUUAACACAUGCAAGUCGAACGAUGAUUNUCUAGCUUGCUNGANAUGAUUAGUGGCGGACGGGUGAGUAACAUUUAGGAAUCUGCCUAGUAGUGGGGGAUAGCUCGGGGAAACUCGAAUUAAUACCGCAUACGACCUACGGGUGAAAGGGGGCGCAAGCUCUUGCUAUUAGAUGAGCCUAAAUCAGAUUAGCUAGUUGGUGGGGUAAAGGCCCACCAAGGCGACGAUCUGUAACUGGUCUGAGAGGAUGAUCAGUCACACCGGAACUGAGACACGGUCCGGACUCCUACGGGAGGCAGCAGUGGGGAAUAUUGGACAAUGGGGGCAACCCUGAUCCAGCCAUGCCGCGUGUGUGAAGAAGGCCUUUUGGUUGUAAAGCACUUUAAGCAGGGAGGAGAGGCUAAUGGUUAAUACCCAUUAGAUUAGACGUACCUGCAG